rnacentral:pre_miRNA from 1 species
AAAAUACUCCCUCCGUCCGGAAAUACUUUUCAUCAAAAUGAAUAAAAGGGGAUGUAUCUAGAUGUAUUUUAGUUCUAGAUACAUCUCUUUUUAUCCAUUUUGAUGACAAGUAUUUUCGGAUGGAGGGAGUAUGUC